rnacentral:rRNA from 1 species
AGAGUUUGAUCAUGGCUCAGAACAAACGCUGGCGGCGUGUCUUAAGCAUGCAAGUUGAGCGGCAAGGAGGAGAGAUCCUCCCUAGAGCGGCGGACUGGUGAGUAACGCGUGGGUAAUCUAUCAUAGGCAUGGGGAUAGUCACUAGAAAUAGUGGGUAAUACCGAAUACGUUCCAUGAGGGGAGUAUUCAUGGAAGAAAGGGUGCUACGGCACUGGCCUUAGGUGAGCUCGCGUCCCAUUAGCUAGUUGGUGAGGUAAAGGCCCACCAAGGCGAUGAUGGGUAGCCGGCCUGAGAGGGUGUACGGCCACACUGGGACUGAGAUACGGCCCAGACUCCUACGGGAGGCAGCAGCUAAGAAUAUUCCGCAAUGGACGAAAGUCUGACGGAGCGACGCCGCGUGGAUGAAGAAGGCCGAAAGGUUGUAAAGUUCUUUUGCUAGGGGAGAAUAAGUGAGGGAGGGAAUGCCCUCAUGAUGACAAGGACUAGCGAAUAAGCCCCGGCCAACUACGUGCCAGCAGCCGCGGUAACACGUAGGGGGCG